rnacentral:rRNA from 1 species
GAUGAACGCUGGCGGCGUGCCUAAUACAUGCAAGUCGAGCGAAUGGAUUAAGAGCUUGCUCUUAUGAAGUUAGCGGCGGACGGGUGAGUAACACGUGGGUAACCUGCCCAUAAGACUGGGAUAACUCCGGGAAACCGGGGCUAAUACCGGAUAACAUUUUGAACCGCAUGGUUCGAAAUUGAAAGGCGGCUUCGGCUGUCACUUAUGGAUGGACCCGCGUCGCAUUAGCUAGUUGGUGAGGUAAAUGCUUACCAAGGCAAUGAUGGUUAGCCGGCCUGAGAGGGAGAUCGGCCACAUUGGGACUGAGACACGGUCCUGACUCCUACGGGAGGCAGCAGUGGGGAAUUUUGCACAAUGGACGAAAGUCUGAUGCAGCAACGCCGCGCGGAGGAUGAAGGUCUUCGGAUUGUAAACUUCUGUUGAUUAGAAAGAAAGAUUGGGAUGGAAUAUAUCCCAUUUAUGACGUUACUAGUCGAGAAAGCCCCGGCUAACUUCGUGCCAGCCGCCGCGGUAA